rnacentral:rRNA from 1 species
UACGGAGGGGGCUAGCGUUGUUCGGAAUUACUGGGCGUAAAGCGCGCGUAGGCGGUUGUUCAAGUCGGGUGUGAAAGCCUUGAGCUCAACUCAAGAAAUGCACUCGAUACUGGAUGACUUGAGGACCGGAGAGGAUAGUGGAAUUCCCAGUGUAGUGGUGAAAUACGUAGAGAUUGGGAAGAACACCAGUGGCGAAGGCGGCUAUCUGGACGGUUUCUGACGCUAAGACGCGAAAGCGUGGGGAGCAAACAGG